AUGAACGCUAGCUACAGGCUUAACACAUGCAAGUCGAGGGGCAGCAUGAACUUAGCUUGCUAAGUUUGAUGGCGACCGGCGCACGGGUGAGUAACACGUAUCCAACCUGCCGAUGACUCGGGGAUAGCCUUUCGAAAGAAAGAUUAAUACCCGAUGGCAUAGUUCUUCCGCAUGGUAGAACUAUUAAAGAAUUUCGGUCAUCGAUGGGGAUGCGUUCCAUUAGGUUGUUGGCGGGGUAACGGCCCACCAAGCCUUCGAUGGAUAGGGGUUCUGAGAGGAAGGUCCCCCACAUUGGAACUGAGACACGGUCCAAACUCCUACGGGAGGCAGCAGUGAGGAAUAUUGGUCAAUGGACGAGAGUCUGAACCAGCCAAGUAGCGUGAAGGAUGACUGCCCUAUGGGUUGUAAACUUCUUUUAUACGGGAAUAAAGUGAGGCACGUGUGCCUUUUUGUAUGUACCGUAUGAAUAAGGAUCGGCUAACUCCGUGCCAGCAGCCGCGGUAAUACGGAGGAUCCGAGCGUUAUCCGGAUUUAUUGGGUUUAAAGGGAGCGUAGGCGGACGCUUAAGUCAGUUGUGAAAGUUUGCGGCUCAACCGUAAAAUUGCAGUUGAUACUGGGUGUCUUGAGUACAGUAGAGGCAGGCGGAAUUCGUGGUGUAGCGGUGAAAUGCUUAGAUAUCACGAAGAACUCCGAUUGCGAAGGCAGCUUGCUGGACUGUAACUGACGCUGAUGCUCGAAAGUGUGGGUAUCAAACAGGAUUAGAUACCCUGGUAGUCCGCGCGGUAAACGAUGGAUGCCCGCCGUUGGGAUUUGGAUUUCAGCGGCCAAGCGAAAGCGUUAAGCAUCCCACCUGGGGAGUUCGCCGGCAACGGUGAAACUCAAAGGAAUUGACGGGGGCCCGCACAAGCGGAGGAACAUGUGGUUUAAUUCGAUGAUACGCGAGGAACCUUACCUGGGUUUAAAUGGGAAAUGUCGUAUUUGGGAACAGAUAUUCUCUUCGGAGCGUUUUUCAAGGUGCUGCAUGGUUGUCGUCAGCUCGUGCCGUGAGGUGUCGGCUUAAGUGCCAUAACGAGCGCAACCCUUAUCGAUAGUUACCAUCAGGUUAUGCUGGGGACUCUGUCGAGACUGCCGUCGUAAGAUGUGAGGAAGGUGGGGAUGACGUCAAAUCAGCACGGCCCUUACGUCCGGGGCUACACACGUGUUACAAUGGGGGGUACAGAAGGCAGCUACACGGCGACGUGAUGCUAAUCCCGAAAGCCUCUCUCAGUUCGGAUUGGAGUCUGCAACCCGACUCCAUGAAGCUGGAUUCGCUAGUAAUCGCGCAUCAGCCACGGCGCGGUGAAUACGUUCCCGGGCCUUGUACACACCGCCCGUCAAGCCAUGAAAGCCGGGGGUACCUGAAGUGCGUAACCGCAAGGAGCGCCCUAGGGUAAAACUGGUGAUUGGGGCU
rnacentral:rRNA from 1 species